AGCGUUUCGAGACUUGAACAUUUAAAUUGCCUGAUUUAUUUCUCGCUUUUGGGUUUUAUUUACCAAAUUAUUUGCCACUUUUGUCUUUUUGUCAAUUGUUUUGCAAGCUUUGGGUUUAUUAGCUUUUAGUUAUCUCUCAUAAGUUUAUUUUUGGUUAUCUUAGUUACUUUAUUUGCAGUUUUUGGAACUUAAAAGGCUUCUUCUAUUUGCCAGAAAUAUGCCCCCCUAGACAUCAUUAAUUCGAAGCCCGUAGAACAUGACAGGGUCCAGAAGUACGAUUAAGUUUCUGAGCUAGCCCGACAACCGAGGCGAUAUCUAGUAAUCAAAUCACUCUCUGAUGCAAAUCUUUCAACGUGAAAUUUGAUUCCUAAGUGUUGUUAAAGAGGAUUGACCUUCAUCCGGUGGACUAUGAAGAUGAGCGGCCCUCAGGUCAAGUUCUCCUCCUUGACCGAUCCAGUACAAUUGAAUGAAAAAAGGAGCAAUUCUACAUUAUCUUUUCCUGUCCACUCAUGAAAACCGAUCCAAGGUGAGAUCUUUUUUUCAGCCCAAGGUGGAAGAAGAGUCGACGAUGGAUAAACGUUCUGAAUGUUUGACCGUGCAACAAUCGUCGUCAGGGCGGUCUUGGGGGGACAUCACAACUAGAAAUACUGGUCAUGGAGGCAUUUUACAACCUAAUGUACGUAAGUACGACUCGGUUCAUGGCAGGAAAUCCCCAAUAGUACAGGACUUGUGGAGCUGAUGCCCACUAUAUUGUAUCGGUGGGUACUCGUACGCAUCAAGCGUCCCUUCGCUCCGUUGCUUCGUCUGUUCAGAGCUCGGAUCGUCCAUCUUUCCACGGACGCUCCGAACGACUCAUCUUCUUUUCACCCUUAUUGUUGCUGAGAAUGCGUCGUCCCUGUCGUCCUACUAGCAUCGUUCUCCUCGAUUGGUGACCUCAGGCAAUAUUGACAUCAAGAAAUAAUCCAUUCCAAACACAAGGUCAUUUCAGCUUUUACUGGAUAUCUUCCACGAAAUCUUCCCCUCUGUUCACACCAUAAUGAAGCUCCCCGUUCCGACCAUAGGCCCAUGACAUCUGGUUGCUGUUCCAUCCGAUGCCCAAAUUACCGGCUCCGUCGAUUGCAAUCACUCCACCAUCUCCACCCACCCGUUGGGCCAUAUAAUCCAAAGUCUCUGUGAUGGCAUCAUUGGGGGAAAGGCCAGUCUUCUCCACCAAAUAACUCACACGUCUCGCCACACCCACUUUCAUAAAGGAUUCUCCCACACCCGUUCCCGAGACUCCAACAGAAUCGUUAUCGGCAAACACGCCAUGUCCAAUCUGAAUUUAAAGCCGACAUUUUGGAACACAUCAAGCAAAGACAUUUCAAAUUUUUCUUACACCGGGAGUGUCCCCAACACGACCAGGCAGUUUUCCAGUCAAACCACCGGUACUUGUUCCGGCGGCAAUGUUUCCAUCGGCAUCAAUGGCCACAGCUCCAACCGUGCUCUUUUGGUUUUUCCAUUUGUCCAUGGUUUCGAUUUGAUUCAUGGUCUUGUAUUCACCGGAGGUGGAUUUAGUCAUGUUGUGAUCUGCUAGCCAUUGUAACCAAUAUUCGUAUUGAUGUAGUGUGAUGAAAUAGUCCUAGAUACGUAGAAUGAACAUUCAAAAUUUG